rnacentral:lncRNA from 1 species
GAUCAUAUGUUCCCUACAUUGGCACGAAAAAAUCAAACAUUACAGUCCCUUGUAUAUAAGAUAAACAUAAGGAAUAAUAAUAUUUAAAAUGGCUCCAUAUGAAAAAUAAAACUCAUACGUACUUGAUAUAAGGUAGGACUUCCUCCGUAUUCUCCAAGACAUAUAGAUGUACCUGGUUCAACAAGUCCCGAUCAACUAAGCUAACCUAGUAAUGGCUUCGAAACUCCCAUCUUCUGGCUUGAAGGCACUCCAACUGCACUAACAUUAAAUAAAUGCUCGAUGCAAAAGUCUACAGCUUCUUCAGCUAUAUACCG